UGGGACGAAAAUCCGUUGGUUUCACGGGACCGUGAGGGUUCGAAUCCCUCUAUCCCCAGC
rnacentral:tRNA from 1 species